AUCUGGAGGCUUGGAGAUAGAAGUUUCUGAUCUGGAUCUUGGUAUGGAGAUCUUGAGCCAUAGUGGCUAUGGAUUCCAGAAGAUUAAAUCUCCGAGUUUAAGGAACACACCUUUAAUCUGGGCUACACCUUCUGCUGGAGACAAUAUAAGGACAUUGGAAGAAGGGAGUCUAGCUCUUGCUCCUUUGCCUGCUUACUGUGUGAGACUGAGUAACUGCUAGAUCCUUGGACUUCCAUUCACAGCUGCGACUGAACCAUUGUUGGGAAUUGGGCUGCCGACUUACCCGUGUAAAGCUUCAACUGCGAUCCCGGUAUGAGGGAUGAAGGAAGCAGAGACAGGAGACUCCCCGGCUCAUUGGAGUAUCUAAAAUCUGAAAAACUGUACCCUUCACGGUGCCUGUCAGCGUUGGGCAAAAGGCUGAGAAGGAAGGGCUGGCUGUACGUCUUGGGAUGGGGGUCCAAACCCCUUUCAGCCACUGUCUGCAGUGUCCGCAGCCUCCACCCCUGGUCUGCUUCCUCCGAACCACUCCGGGGUGGUUUGGCAAGAAUAUCGUCUGAGAAUACUGACCUGGUGUAUUUGUUCUGUUAUAACUAAAUACCUGAGACUGAAUAAUCUAUAAUAAAAAGUAAUUUUUCAAAGUUC